AAGUCGUAACAAGGUAACCGUAGGUGAACCUGCGGUUGGAUCAUUACUGAUUUUGUCAUGUUGGGUCGAGUCUCCCUUGGAGAUUCCUCAACUGACGAUAUACCACUGUGCACUUAAUUGUAUUUUGGGUCUUGGCUAGACUUUUGUUGAACCUAGGCCCAGCAUUAUGAACCAACGAAAUUUUUUGUCUAAAAUAUCUAUAAAAUAGAAACAACUUUUGACAACGGAUCUCUUGGCUCUC
rnacentral:misc_RNA from 1 species